AGCUGCGAGGGCGCAACAAGUGCAGAGCCCCAAAGGCCCCAAAGCCCCAACCCGUGUGGGUGUCGUGCCGUGCCUGACUCUUCGUUUGGCUUUCGUGGCGUGCUGGUCGUGACUCUCUGCCACCGUCGCACCCGUGUGUCGAUUGAAAAUCUUGCGUCGGCGCAAAUAGUGGAGAUGACAGCAUUAAUAAAACCAAAAAAACCAGUUGACCGUGAUAUUAUCGUACUCGUACCAUACAAGAAAAGCUUGCAAAAUAUUCAAAAUAAAAAUGUGAAUGAUUUAAUUGUGGAAAUAUUUUGUGGUGUUGUGUCUGCGAUGUGUGUGUGUACCCCUGCUUGCCCCCCUCACCAUGACUCUAUCGAGUGUCAGUCGAAGGGCAUUUCGUCAAUGAAUAACGGCAGUUUUAUUGUAGCUUGAAGAGCUUAGGAGGUGCGAAAGCGAGGAAGAGGAGAAGAGCUUAGUGGUGCGAAAACGAAAAAGAGCAAAAGCACCAUCACCUUUGUGUCAGCAGAAGUCGAAGCAGCGACGGCGACUGCACAGCCGGCAUUGAACAAGCAAUAAAACAGAAGAGAGCAAGUAAAAGAUAACAGCAAAACGCAACACGACGUCAGCGGGCCCCACAUUCCAGCGGGCAGCGGGCAUUUUGUGCGUCGCCAUUUCGAAGGUCAGGCCACCAACUUCAAGUCAGGCUUGGGGUCACCGUUACCCCGAAUUUUUGCAGCAGCAGAAAAAGCGCAGUAAGCAGCAGCAGCACCGCAGCAUCAGAGUCGCAG
rnacentral:sRNA from 15 species